rnacentral:rRNA from 1 species
GAUGAACGCUGGCGGCGUGCCUAAUACAUGCAAGUCGAGCGAACGGACGAGAAGCUUGCUUUUCUGAUGUUAGCGGCGGACGGGUGAGUAACACGUGGAUAACCUACCUAUAAGACUGGGAUAAAUUCGGGAAACCGGAGCUAAUACCGGAUAAUAUUUUGAACCGCAUGGUUCAAAAGUGAAAGACGGUCUUGCUGUCACUUAUAGAUGGAUCCGCGCUGCAUUAGCUAGUUGGUAAGGUAACGGCUUACCAAGGCAACGAUGCAUAGCCGACCUGAGAGGGUGAUCGGCCACCCUGGAACUGAGACACGGUCCAGACUCCUACGGGAGGCAGCCGUAGGGAAUCUUCCGCAAUGGGCGAAAGCCUGACGGAGCAACGCCGCGUGAGUGAUGAAGGUCUUCGGAUCGUAAAACUCUGUUAUUAGGGAAGAACAUAUGUGUAAGUAACUGUGCACAUCUUGACGGUACCUAAUCAGAAAGCCACGGCUAACUACGUG